rnacentral:rRNA from 1 species
ACCGGUUUCGACUGGAGCGCGUCCGCCAAAGACCUAACCAAAACUCAUGUUGUCUUUGUCGUCUCAGCUUUAUUAUUGAAUUGAUAAAACUUUCAACAACGGAUCUCUUGGCUCUGGCAUCGAUGAAGAACGCAGCGAAAUGCGAUAAGUAAUGUGAAU